GGGUGAAGUAACAUACUUAGUGGCGCACGGGUGAGUAACGUGUGAACUAUGUGCCAUAUACAGAGGAAUAGCCUCGGGAAACCGGUAUUAACACCGCAUAAAACUAUAGUAUCGCAUGAUACGUUAGUCAAAUUGAUUAAGAGGUAUAGGAUGAGUUCGUGUCUGAUUAGAUAGUUGGUGGGGUAAAGGCUUACCAAGGCGACAGAUCAUGUACCCGGCUUGAGAGGGUGACCGGCCACACUGGAAUUGAGACACGGUCCAGAUUCUUACGGAAGGCACCAUUGGGGAAUAUUGCCCAAUGAAGGAAACUUUAAUGCAGCGACGCGGCUUGAGUGAAGAAGGUCUUCGGAUCGUAAAACUCUGUCCUUGGUGAAGAUAAUGACGGUAGCCAAGGAGGAAGCCCCGAGCUAAUCC
rnacentral:rRNA from 1 species